UGUGUGAACCGGUAAUUAUGUGAAUGGGAAUAAUUAUGUUUUAUGUUGUUUUGUUAUGUUACUGCAUUAAUAAACAAUGAGGUAAGCUGUUUUCUUUAAUUUAAUCGAUAUUGGAUUAAAUGUUCACCUAUUUUUAUUUUCUAAUGUGUUGAAGGUGACAUUAGUAAAAUUGUAUUACGAUUGCCCCCGAGUUGUUUUAUUUUGAGAACACUACACAUAUCCGGAUGUUGCUAUUUUUAGAACCAGAAGGUAUUUCCCCGCUAUUUAUAGGUCAAUAAUGGAAUUUCUACAUCGUCGAUUAAUAGUUGGAAACUCGGUUUUGUCAUGAAUAUACGUUUAAAAUAAGUAAACACUAAAAGUGCACACUGACAGUUGAUUACGAUACAUCUAACAAUUUGAGUCAUUACAGUAAAACAUGGAUUAUAAGUGAAUUAUACGCGUAAGAGAAGAUUUUCUGUCGAAAAAACUAAUGUCAACAAUCAGCAUGGAAUUGGGAUAUUCGUAUCAAAGGGCUAUUCAUGCAGGAAAAGGACUGAAUAUUACUAUUAUAUGAAGAAUUCCAGCCUGCAUUAAAUACUUUGUUGGAUCAUUGAGACAGAUUUGACAUCCAUGUCUAUCCACGUCUGAUAGAGAUGAUCACUAAACAUUCUAGAUGGGUAAAGACCUGUUAAAUCAGCAUUGACUCAGCAUUAAGUAAUUUUCAUCUGUGCAGACACUACAAGUACAAAUGCAUGGGAACAAACCAAACAUCAAAUGUUGAAGAGUGAAGAAUUAUUGUGAAAAGUUCUAAAUGUUAGAAUACCAUUGACUAAAUAAAACAAAUAGACAUCGAUUACCAACAGAGACUGUUUACAUGUUAUAAUAUUAAAAAGACAUUAGUUGAGAACUUUCACUCUGACAUUUUUGGAAGGGCAUUACCGCCUACUUAGUGUUCUUGUUUCUUUACAUAUUUUAAUUUAAAAGUACAUUCAUUGUUUUAAAAUCUGAAUUCUGAGUUAGUAUCAUAAGUAAAAUUCAUUUAUUUAAAUGAUUACAUUUUAUGAAUAAGUCCAAUUGAGCUUUUUACAAGAAAAAGGUUGAUUUUUAAGCAUUUUAUUAGUUAUAAAAAUGUAUAGUUACAUGACAUUAUGUAUAUUUUCUUCAAAACUGAACGGUAAACUAUCAUAAAUUGUCUUUUGAAUUGUUCAUUAGACAUCAUAGAAAAUAUUUAAAUGA